rnacentral:rRNA from 1 species
GAACUUAGCAGAGAUGCUUUGGUGCCUUCGGGAACUCUGAGACAGGUGCUGCAUGGCUGUCGUCAGCUCGUGUUGUGAAAUGUUGGGUUAAGUCCCGCAACGAGCGCAACCCUUAUCCUUUGUUGCCAGCGAUUCGGUCGGGAACUCAAAGGAGACUGCCGGUGAUAAACCGGAGGAAGGUGGGGAUGACGUCAAGUCAUCAUGGCCCUUACGGCCAGGGCUACACACGUGCUACAAUGGCGCAUACAAAGAGAAGCGACCUCGCGAGAGCAAGCGGACCUCAUAAAGUGCGUCGUAGUCCGGAUUGGAGUCUGCAACUCGACUCCAUGAAGUCGGAAUCGCUAGUAAUCGUAGAUCAGAAUGCUACGGUGAAUACGUUCCCGGGCCUUGUACACACCGCCCGUCACACCAUGGGAGUGGGUUGCAAAAGAAGUAGGUAGCUUAACCUUCGGGAGGGCGCUUACCACUUUGUGAUUCAUGACUGGGGUGAAGUCGUAACAAGGUAAGCGUAGUGCU